rnacentral:lncRNA from 1 species
UGCAUGAGCAGGGGUUGGGGGCUAGGGGCAGAGGGAGAGGGAGAGCAGGCUCUCCACUGAGCAAGGAGCCUGAUGCGGGGUUCGAUCCUAGGAUCCUGGGAUCACAAUCUGAACAGAAGGCAGAUGCUUAACUGACUGUGCUACCCAAGUGCCCACAUAAACAAAUAUUUAUAAAUAAAAUAAGAUUUUGAUCAGGAGAGUAACUUCUUGAAAUUUUAAGAGGAGAGUAAUAUGAAAUAUGAAUUGGUGAAGGUGAAAUUGUCAUUAGAAACGUCUAUUUGAAUAUACCCUUUAUUUGAUUCUAAAUUUUCCAGUGCUUUUGAAGCUGAAUAAUUUUCCACAGUAUGAUUUAAAUGUUUAAUCUCUGGAAUUAUAUUCUGUAUUAACAUGACACCUCUAUCAUUUCUAAGACCAAUAUAUUUAAAUUUUAUCACGCGUUAAUUUCAGGCAGCUCUCCUUGAGAUAUGAAAAGAAGAACUCAGCAGGUAAUUUGGCAGAUUCUCUCCUCUGCUGAUCAUUAUUCUGAUUCAGUGUCAUAGAAUUCAUCUAAACUGUGUUAGAACAAAAGCAAAGCCACAUAAGCCACCUACCAAGUCAGUGAGCAGAUGAGAACUGUCUGCCAGUCCUUUGAAUGAAACCCCUGACAUAACAGAUUUUAGAACUGGAAGAUAUCUUACAGAUCAUGUAAUAAUCCAAGGCUCUCAUUUUAACAGGGGUGAGACGGUUGUUUGAACAGGUCAACUGAUUUACUCCCCCCAAACAUAAUUUCCUAAUCUGGUUAAUUCAAGGUCUUACUUUCAGAAGACCCUUAAGGAAUUAUAUAGUAAAUUAGUAGCACCAAAUCAAGAUGUGGGCUUCUGUUGUAAAUCCAUUAUCUUCACUAUAUUAAGAUGGAUUCUUCCCCUCUUCUUUCCUGCAUCUUCUGAGUCUUUAAGUCUCAAAUUAUUCCAGUGACCUCUGCUUCUUUGGAGUUGGUGUCAAGAUUCCAAGAUUUUCUUCUUUUUUUUAAAAUUUUUAUUUAUUUAUGAUAGUCACAGAGAGAGAGAGAGAGAGAGAGAGAGAGAGAGAGGCAGAGACACAGGUAGAGGGAGAAGCAGGCUCCAUGCACCGGGAGCCCGAUGUGGGAUUCGAUCCCGGGUCUCCAGGAUCGCGCCCUGGGCCAAAUGCAGGCGCCAAACCCCUGCGCCACCCAGGGAUCCCUAUUUUCCUCAUUUUUAAAACAUGGUUUGAUUUGCCAAAGUAAUAGUGCACAAACGCAACAGAAUACACUGCAUAUUAGUACUUCUUUUAAGUAACCAACCCAAGGUGGGUUAAUAGCUGCACAUUAUUUAAGUUUUGUUCAGAUACUUUGAAAAUUUACUUGUCGAUUUUUUUUUUAAGAUUCAAAAAAGUCACUUAUUUGACAGAGAGAGAGAAAGCAUAAGCAGGGGGAGCAAUAAAGGGAGAGAGAGAAGCAAGCUGUCCCCUGAGCAGGGAGUGCAACAGGGGCUGGGUCCCGGGAUCCUGAGAUCAGCACCUGAGCCAAAGGCAGGCACCUCACUGAGCCACCCCGGCGCCGCUUACUUGUGAUUUGGUGCUUGCUGCGCGUAGAGAUGCACAUGUCAUGUGCAAUAAAUGGGUCCUCAAAUUGAUAACGUUGGGGGGGGGGGGUUGGCUCUCGGCGGAUGCUGAUUCAGCAAGCAUUUACGGGGCCCAGGACCACUGUAACCGCUGGGCGCUGCACGAAGCAUCCUGGAGGCCGGACAUGGCUCAGUCUCCCUUGCAGAGCUCCGCAUUUCGGAGUCAAGGGUUCUGGGCCAAACUCUGGGAUCUGCUCAGGAACGCUCCGGGCACCAGGGCCGAGGACAGCCUAAGCUGCCUGCGGAGGCAGUGACGGCCCCGGGCGGCCCCCGGUUCAGGGCUCUCAGGCGCGACCUCACGAUGGCAGGGACCCUGAGCCCCACGCAGACUCCCGGGCUCCGGCGGAGCCACGCCCAACCUGUUCCAAACACGUUGCCCUCCUCGGGUCUCUAAGGCGGCAGGGGCGGCCCCGCCUUCGUCAUCCCUGGCACAUCCGCAGCCGGCGGGUCUCCGCGGGCAGAUCCGUCCCUCGCUGCAGAGCCCCGGCAUCCCGGGGUCGGCGCUCGCUUCC